GACGAACGCUGGCGGCGUGCCUAAUACAUGCAAGUCGAGCGGACCGACGGGAGCUUGCUCCCUUAGGUCAGCGGCGGACGGGUGAGUAACACGUGGGUAACCUGCCUGUAAGACUGGGAUAACUCCGGGAAACCGGGGCUAAUACCGGAUGCUUGAUUGAACCGCAUGGUUCAAUCAUAAAAGGUGGCUUUUAGCUACCACUUGCAGAUGGACCCGCGGCGCAUUAGCUAGUUGGUGAGGUAGCGGCUCACCAAGGCGACGAUGCGUAGCCGACCUGAGAGGGUGAUCGGCCACACUGGGACUGAGACACGGCCCAGACUCCUACGGGAGGCAGCAGUAGGGAAUCUUCCGCAAUGGACGAAAGUCUGACGGAGCAACGCCGCGUGAGUGAUGAAGGUUUUCGGAUCGUAAAACUCUGUUGUUAGGGAAGAACAAGUACCGUUCGAAUAGGGCGGUACCUUGACGGUACCUAACCAGAAAGCCACGGCUAACUACGUGCCAGCAGCCGCGGUAAUACGUAGGUGGCAAGCGUUGUCCGGAAUUAUUGGGCGUAAAGCGCGCGCAGGCGGUUUCUUAAGUCUGAUGUGAAAGCCCCCGGCUCAACCGGGGAGGGUCAUUGGAAACUGGGGAACUUGAGUGCAGAAGAGGAGAGUGGAAUUCCACGUGUAGCGGUGAAAUGCGUAGAGAUGUGGGGGAACACCAGUGGCGAAGGCGACUCUCUGGUCUGUAACUGACGCUGAG
rnacentral:rRNA from 1 species